GGAGCUGGGGAAGGGGCUGGAGCACCAGGAGGGAGCUGGAGGGGCUCAGCCCGGAGAAAAGGAGGCUCAGCGGGGACCUUCUCGCUGUCCCUGGCAGGAGGAUGGGGCAGCGGGGAGAGUCAGACUCUUGUCCUGGCAACCAGCGACAGAACAAGAGGAAAUAGCACUAAGCUGCGCCAGGGGAGGUUUAGAUGGAGACUGCAGUUGGGACAUCCUCACACAUCAGCCGGCAGUCCAAACCCUGCACCCAGGUGAAGAGUGUGCUCAGCCCUGUUGGAGCCAGGCUUUACAGCUGAACCCUUGCUGAAGUGCUCCCUGACUGGAGAGGGCUCACAGGGAGGAGCACCGUGCUGCAGGUUUCUUGUGCAGCUCUGAACAAGAGUUUUAGAAGCAGAGGAAGUAGGACAGAGGCCCAACCCCAGAGCAGUGUGCAGGAAACACCAGCGGCUCUGCAACACUUGUUGUUGUACAUAGCCAUUUACAAAGAUUAGAAGGCCACUUUGUCUUGCUUGGCUGUAAUUAUCCAGGAUGUCAGGUGUCGGUUGAGGAUCCAGAGGACACAUCCUCAGCUCUCUUUGAGGGUAAUGAAGGUAGAGAGCACACUGCUCCUUGGCUGCAGGGGAAGAUGUAUUUUGCUUGUCAUUAAUAGUCAGGUAAUUGCAGACCCAAGGGAGCAGUGGUUUAAAUUAUUGCAAAAGCUGUCAUUGAGUGGCCUGGUUAUUGAACAGACACCGGUGUAUUUCCCUGCCACCUGCACAGGUUGUUACAGAGGAAAACAUUGUCACAUUUCUGGUUUUUAACACCUCCUUGUAAACACUGUUUUGCUUCCUCCUGCUGCCUAUGUGGGGCAAUGGGACAAGGUGUAACAGAUAAUAUCCAGUUCCAGAGAACAAAUUCAUCGUUAUACCUUGUUAUUUGUUCAAUUUAAUGAAAUGAUUAACAAAAAAACCAAACAAAAAACACCCCCAAACCAAAACAGCAACAAACCAAACCACUCUAUCAAGGUCCAUUUGUAGCAUCUGUGCAGUAAUUAAUUAUAUGUAUGCAUACCCGUGGCAUGAUUCUCUCACUCAACUAUGUUUUUUUUUUAAUGAAGAUACGUAUCUUUACCAUUUUUUAUUUGUAGCCACUACAUUUAGAUUUGUGUUAAGCCAUCAUUAUAAUAAUUCCAUAAAUUUUGUCAGACUAAUUUAUGACUUAAAUUGGUGCAAAGGAAGAAUCAAAUCUUUCUGGCCCUUGAGAUUUCAUCCACAGUGAAGGGUGUCAGAAGCAAACCAAAUGACAUUACCACAUGCCAUGUUACCACAUCAAAAAAACCCUAUGAGCCUUGCAGCCACUUGGCAAAGCAUAUCUGCAUUUCCCCUUGCUUCUGUCAGCCUGGAAAUGAUAGUGUGUUACCAUAUUCAGGGUAAAUGUUUCAUCAGAUUGGUAUUUCAGCCACUAAAAACAUUCUUGAACAAAUUUGUGAUUAGCUGUAUGGCUUUAUUCCUAUUGUCUCUGCUGCAGGAGGAUACUGGGAUUAGCAAAUGCGGAUUUACAUCACUGUUUUUCUCCUUAGGUUAACUAUAAACUUAAUGCUAAUCAAAUCCUGUGUAGUACUGACCAAGGGAAUAUGGCACAUCUCAUUUAAAAAAUCAUACCCAAGACAAGUUCUUAUCAUUUGUUCUCUGCAUUGUUUCUGCAUGAAUGUAAAUAACACAUUUGCUUUCUUAGACUACAGGUUGUUUUAUGAUGAAUACAUCCCCUAUCCUGUCAUCUCUACCUGUAAAAAUUAUCUCCUCAGAAGUUAAGAAACUCUUGUACCCAAACCCAUGAUCAUCCAAAAACAACCCUGUGAGUACUACAGAAGAAAUUCUGGAGACAAACUCUUAGAAGAAAAUCUGUAACAACGGUUAGGCGUUAGAUUCAUUGCCACCUUGUAAUUCUAGAAAUGUACUUGUGGACAUUUGUUAAAUCCAAACAUU